rnacentral:sRNA from 1 species
CCAAACUGCCGGGACGGCAGGAUGAGAACCGGGUUCGACUCGAGCGGCAUCGCCGCGAGAGAACGCCGCCACAGGCGGCGGCCCGAAGGGCGGCGCGCAGCGCCGUAAUCCUGCCGGCCCAGCCA